GACGAACGCUGGCGGCGUGCCUAAUACAUGCAAGUAGAACGCUGAAGGAGGAGCUUGCUUCUCUGGAUGAGUUGCGAACGGGUGAGUAACGCGUAGGUAACCUGCCUGGUAGCGGGGGAUAACUAUUGGAAACGAUAGCUAAUACCGCAUAAGAGUAGAUGUUGCAUGACAUUUGCUUAAAAGGUGCAAUUGCAUCACUACCAGAUGGACCUGCGUUGUAUUAGCUAGUUGGUGAGGUAACGGCUCACCAAGGCGACGAUACAUAGCCGACCUGAGAGGGGAACGGCCACACUGGGACUGAGACACGGCCCAGACUCCUACGGGAGGCAGCAGUAGGGAAUCUUCGGCAAUGGACGGAAGUCUGACCGAGCAACGCCGCGUGAGUGAAGAAGGUUUUCGGAUCGUAAAGCUCUGUUGUAAGAGAAGAACGAGUGUGAGAGUGGAAAGUUCACACUGUGACGGUAUCUUACCAGAAAGGGACGGCUAACUACGUG
rnacentral:rRNA from 1 species